AACAAUGACCACUCAUUGAUAUUCGACUCCUCAAAUUAUUCCUCAGAUCGAGUGAAAAUUAAUGGAAGUAAUCGUAUUUGUAUUUUAUUAGGAGACUACAGUUGGAUUUCGUGUCAAGUCCUUCACUCCUUCCAUUGUUUCGUUAGGAAUCUUUAAAUAUUGGAUUCUGACAUUUGUUUAGAUAAUAUAAAUAUGGACGUAUAUUUGCAUUUGGAAACGUUGAAAAAUGUGUGUCUUCAAUUUAAUGUAUCCAAUCACAAGCGACGUAUAUUAUAUUUAUGUAUAAUUCAUAAUCAACUUUCAGAGUAUGUAGUAAAUUUACAAGUAUAGGGUGCAAAUGAGCGGGAAAAUAUGGACCAGACUACAUUUAUCUCCUUAAAAUCAAUUAAUUCAGCUCCAACCACAGCCCACAGGCCUUGAUGAGGAACUUCUCGUCCAUGUUGCCCACUUCUUCGAGAAUUUUAAGCCCAAAAGGAGUCCAUAGUAUUAUGGACACAUUUAUAGGACUCUCUCCAAGACACUCCCAUAGAAGUCCAAAGGGUUAUUAUCCGGGUAGCAGGGAAGACACACUUCCUUUGCCUAAAAAAUAAAGGUCUUUAAAAUGUUAGUUUUUCGGAAUCAAUCCAGUUUAAUUACCAAAUUUGGGAAAAGGGCGCCAAUAUAAAAUUCUAUCAUGAUAAAAGAAAAAUGUUAAUAUUAAUAUAAACUCUCUUGCAUAAUUAGAUAUAUUUUUAUUUAAGUCGUUGGCCUCGGCACGCAUGCACAAAAUAAUGGUUGAACGCCGUGCGUAUUCGGAGGACAUCUUAAGGAUUUUAUAUUUUCCCUUCUACAAUUUUGUCACCUAAAUCUGAUGAGCUCACUUUUAUUAACAUAGAUAUCAGAGUUGCCAAGAUAUAGAGGUUUAAACUUUUUCCGUAUUGAAAAUCCCCACCCUGUAUGUGUUAACAAAAACACUUUGGAGCAAAAAUCAAGAAAAGGGAUAUUUGUGUACGUUAUAUAUACAUUCAAAUCCGUAUAAGUGCAACAAUG
rnacentral:lncRNA from 1 species